ACGAUGAAGCCCAGCUUGCUGGGUGGAUUAGUGGCGAACGGGUGAGUAACACGUGAGUAACCUGCCCUUGACUCUGGGAUAAGCGUUGGAAACGACGUCUAAUACCGGAUACGAGCUUCCACCGCAUGGUGAGUUGCUGGAAAGAAUUUUGGUCAAGGAUGGACUCGCGGCCUAUCAGCUUGUUGGUGAGGUAAUGGCUCACCAAGGCGACGACGGGUAGCCGGCCUGAGAGGGUGACCGGCCACACUGGGACUGAGACACGGCCCAGACUCCUACGGGAGGCAGCAGUGGGGAAUAUUGCACAAUGGGCGAAAGCCUGAUGCAGCAACGCCGCGUGAGGGACGACGGCCUUCGGGUUGUAAACCUCUUUUAGCAGGGAAGAAGCGAAAGUGACGGUACCUGCAGAAAAAGCACCGGCUAACUACGUGCCAGCAGCCGCGGUAAUACGUAGGGUGCAAGCGUUGUCCGGAAUUAUUGGGCGUAAAGAGCUCGUAGGCGGUUUGUCGCGUCUGCUGUGAAAUCCCGAGGCUCAACCUCGGGUCUGCAGUGGGUACGGGCAGACUAGAGUGCGGUAGGGGAGAUUGGAAUUCCUGGUGUAGCGGUGGAAUGCGCAGAUAUCAGGAGGAACACCGAUGGCGAAGGCAGAUCUCUGGGCCGCUACUGACGCUGAGGAGCGAAAGGGUGGGGAGCAAACAGGCUUAGAUACCCUGGUAGUCCACCCCGUAAACGUUGGGCGCUAGAUGUGGGGACCAUUCCACGGUUUCCGUGUCGUAGCUAACGCAUUAAGCGCCCCGCCUGGGGAGUACGGCCGCAAGGCUAAAACUCAAAGGAAUUGACGGGGGCCCGCACAAGCGGCGGAGCAUGCGGAUUAAUUCGAUGCAACGCGAAGAACCUUACCAAGGCUUGACAUAUACGAGAACGGGCCAGAAAUGGUCAACUCUUUGGACACUCGUAAACAGGUGGUGCAUGGUUGUCGUCAGCUCGUGUCGUGAGAUGUUGGGUUAAGUCCCGCAACGAGCGCAACCCUCGUUCUAUGUUGCCAGCACGUAAUGGUGGGAACUCAUGGGAUACUGCCGGGGUCAACUCGGAGGAAGGUGGGGACGACGUCAAAUCAUCAUGCCCCUUAUGUCUUGGGCUUCACGCAUGCUACAAUGGCCAGUACAAAGGGCUGCAAUACCGUAAGGUGGAGCGAAUCCCAAAAAGCUGGUCCCAGUUCGGAUUGAGGUCUGCAACUCGACCUCAUGAAGUCGGAGUCGCUAGUAAUCGCAGAUCAGCAACGCUGCGGUGAAUACGUUCCCGGGCCUUGUACACACCGCCCGUCAAGUCAUGAAAGUCGGUAACACCCGAAGCCAGUGGCCUAACCGCAAGGAUGGAGCUGUCUAAGGUGGGAUCGGUAAUUAGGACUAAGUCG
rnacentral:rRNA from 1 species